UCCAAGCUCAAAUCAAGCUAGGCUAUGGAUUUGGCAAGGAUUAUUGGUGAAGAAGGCCAAGGAGAAGGAAUAGGACAUGAUUUUUGAAGAAGAAAGGGAAACACGAUCGUUAAGGAAGCUUAAGCGGAAAGCAUCAGAGUGUGGAGUACGCCAGCAUUUUCCAGGUUAUAACAAGGUCAUUCCGGACGAUUUGGAUUAGAAGUGGGUCGUUGGCCAAGUUCGUGUGUUGCUAUUCCUGUUGCUUGAAGUUCUUCCCUUGUGGUAUUCCAUCGUUUUACUCGUUUUUCAUUCCAUGUUGAACUCUAUGAGGUCCGCCUACCUGGGAGCGCGCCUCACCCCUUUGUUUUAUUGUUGUUGUUGAACUUUCCUUUCAUUUCGGUUAUGAUGUAAGCCCUAAGGCGCCACAAUGCACUUGCCCACUUUAUUUUUAAGCAUUUCCAGACUUGUUCUUUUGAGUGUUGGGUUGUUGAUUUAAAAUCCUUUCUAAAUUUAGUUUUUCUUGGUCUCUUAUUUUCUAAAAUUUGUAUUUUCAAAAGGCCUUGUAGUAUUAAGUUGGUAGGUCUACGGUAUGUCUACAACGUAUCGAGCUCCUAUUGGCUUAAUAUUACGGCGCUGUGGUAUACUCAUUCGGGUUGCCACACUAUGGGGCUCCUUUACCCGUAUGGUGAUAUUUCUUCCCCACAUCCUAUUAUUACUUGAUUAGCGGGGCUAGUCCGAUUUCUCUUAACCAACGGGCUGGUAUGUUUUCACGAGAUUUUGAGUUUAA